GGGCCCAUAGCUCAGUCGGUUAGAGCAGCGGACUCAUAAUCCGUCGGUCCCUGGUUCGAGUCCAGGUGGGCCCA
rnacentral:tRNA from 1 species